AUGCUAUGCACGGGGGUGAUUACACAUAGCAUGAGCCCAUUUGCUGCCCCCGUUCUCCUGGUAAAGAAAAAAGAUGGAACGUGGCGAUUCUGUGUCGAUUACCGCCGCUUGAACACCGUCACCAUCAAGAACAAGUUCCCCCUUCCGGUCAUCGACGAACUGCUGGAUGAAUUAGCCGGCGCGACAGUCUUCUCCAAGAUUGAUUUGCGCGCUGGCUACCAUCAAAUUCGGAUGCGCGAAAGUGAUGAGGAGAAGACAGCAUUCAAGACCCAUCACAGACAUUUUCAAUUCCGUGUCAUGCCGUUCGGCGUCACCAAUGGACCACCAACAUUCCAGUGCCUGAUGAAUUCUAUCCUCUCCGGGCCAAACCGUAAGUUUGUCAUCACGUUUUUGGAUGACAUUUUGGUGUUCAGCCAUUGCUUGCAGGAGCACGUGGAGCAUUUGCGCACUAUCUUUGCUCUUCUUCGUCAGCAUCAAUUGUACGCCAAGCGCUCCAAGUGUUCUUUCGCCCAGCCCCGAAUUGAGUACCUGGGACAUGUGAUCUCCAAGGAGGGUGUCGCCACAGACGAGAGCAAAACAAGUGUGAUGCGAGCUUGGCCCACUCCUACCAAUCCAACAGAACUUCGCGGUUUCCUCGGCCUCACCGGUUAUUACCGCAAAUUCGUCUCUCGCUACGGAAUCAUUGCCAAGCCACUCACUCAGCUGCUCACCAAGAAGGGCUUCAAGUGGUCAGAGCAAGCCCAAGCCGUGUUCGAGCUCCUCAAGAAUGCCAUGGCUAAUACCCCUGUUCUGGCCCUGCCCGAUUUCGCUCGCCCAUUCUCAAUCGAGACGGAUGCGUGUGACACGGGCAUGGGAGCGGUGCUCGUCCAGGACGGCCACCCAAUUGCCUACCUCAGCAAAGCGCUCGGUGUCUGCAACCAACGACUGUCAAUUUACGAGAAGGAAUUCCUUGCAGUGAUGAUGGCAGUGGAAAAAUGGAGGCCCUAUUUGCAGCGUGCGCCGUUCGUCAUUGUCACCGAUCACAAGAGCUUGUGUCACCUUGGCGAUCAGCAGCUGGAAACGGAGUUGCAGCGCAAAGCCAUGUCCAAAAUGGUGGGGUUACAAUUUUCCUUCAAGUAUCGCGGUGGCCCAGAGAACGGCGCAGCAGACGCACUGUCGCGCGUCGGCCAUCUGCUCUCAGUCGAUUCUUUGUCUGUCUGUCAACCGCAGUGGCUUCAGGAAGUGAUGAAUUCUCAUGAAACGGACACAGACAGCCAAGAUCUACUCCAACGCCUGGCCCUUUGCAGUCCAGAUGAACAAGGGUACGAACUGCGGCAAGGCAUCAUUCGUUUGCACAACAAGAUCUGGAUUGGGGCCAACACCGCUAUACAGACCAAAUUGAUCAAUGCAUUCCACGCAAGUGCGAUUGGUGGUCACUCAGGAGUAACAGCUACGUAUCAGCAGGUCAAAAAGUUGUUUGCUUGGCGCGGUUUGAAACAAGCAGUGGAGGAUUUUGUCCGGCAAUGCUCGGUAUGUCAGCACGCAAAGCAUGAACACUUGAAGACGCCCGGUCUCCUUCAACCUCUCCCAGUACCCACGGAACCUUGGAGGGAUUUAACCAUGGAUUUCGUAGAAGGAUUGCCAGCUUCUGAGGGCUACGAGGUGAUCAUGGUCGUGGUCGAUCGCUUCACCAAGUACGCUCACUUUGUCCCACUACGUCACCCGUUUACAGCAGCAACAGUGGCUCGGGCAUUUUGGGAUAACAUCAUUAAGUUAUAUGGAGUGCCCCAUUCGAUUGUCUCCGAUCGUGACAAGAUUUUCACCAGUGCCAUGUGGCGUGCUUUGUUGGAGGCAGCGGGCACGAAACUCAGCUAUUCCACGGCUUACCAUCCUCAGACAGACGGACAGAGUGAACGGGUGAAUCAGUGCCUUGAAAUGUAUCUCCGGUGUGCAGUCCAUGAAACACCCAAGCAAUGGCGCAAGUGGCUUCCAACAGCUGAAUUUUGGUAUAACACCACUCAUCACUCCUCCUUGAAUACUUCUUCAUUCAAAGCUCUCUAUGGUCAAGAACCAAACCUCGGUGGCCUGCCCACCUUAUCUCUGAAUCUGCCAGACAACAAGGAUGCAGACUUGGACUGGGCAACACACAAUGACAGGCUACGUGCUCAACUUGCAUAG
rnacentral:rRNA from 1 species